GUGCCUGUAGUUCAAUUGGUAGAAUGUCAGACUCCGACUCUGAAGGUCUGCGGGUUCGAAUCCCGUCGGGUACACCA
rnacentral:tRNA from 1 species